rnacentral:rRNA from 1 species
UGCGGAAGGAUCAUUACUGAGUGAGGGCCCUCUGGGUCCAACCUCCCACCCGUGUUUAUUGUACCUUGUUGCUUCGGUGCGCCCGCCUCACGGCCGCCGGGGGGCUUCUGCCCCCGGGUCCGCGCGCACCGGAGACACUAUUGAACUCUGUCUGAAGAUUGCAGUCUGAGCAUAAACUAAAUAAGUUAAAACUUUCAACAACGGAUCUCUUGGUUCCGGCAUCGAUGAAGAACGCAGCGAAAUGCGAUAACUAAUGUGAAUUGCAGAAUUCAGUGAAUCAUCGAGUCUUUGAACGCACAUUGCGCCCCCUGGUAUUCCGGGGGGCAUGCCUGUCCGAGCGUCAUUGCUGCCCUCAAGCACGGCUUGUGUGUUGGGCUCCGUCCCCCCGGGGACGGGUCCGAAAGGCAGCGGCGGCACCGAGUCCGGUCCUCGAGCGUAUGGGGCUUUGUCACCCGCUCUGUAGGCCCGGCCGGCGCCAGCCGACAACCAAUCAUCCUUUUUUCAGGUUGACCUCGGAUCAGGUAGGGAUACCCGCUGAACUUAAGCAUAUCAAAAGGCCGGAGGAA